UGAACGCUAGCGGCAGGCUUAACACAUGCAAGUCGAGGGGUAACAGGAUUUAGUUUACUAGAUUGCUGACGACCGGCGCACGGGUGAGUAACGCGUAUACAAUUUACCUUUUACAGGAGAAUAGCCCAGAGAAAUUUGGAUUAAUGCUCCAUAGUAUUAUUUGAUCACCUGGUUAGAUAAUUAAAGUUCCGGCGGUAAAAGAUGAGUAUGCGUCCUAUUAGCUAGAUGGUAAGGUAACGGCUUACCAUGGCGACGAUAGGUAGGGGUCCUGAGAGGGAGAUCCCCCACACUGGUACUGAGACACGGACCAGACUCCUACGGGAGGCAGCAGUGAGGAAUAUUGGGCAAUGGAGGCAACUCUGACCCAGCCAUGCCGCGUGCAGGAAGACGGCCCUAUGGGUUGUAAACUGCUUUUAUACAGGAAGAAACUUAUCCACGUGUGGAUAACUGACGGUACUGUAAGAAUAAGCACCGGCUAACUCC
rnacentral:rRNA from 1 species